rnacentral:rRNA from 1 species
UACGUAGGGGGCAAGCGUUAUCCGGAUUUACUGGGUGUAAAGGGGGCGCAGACGGCAGCGCAAACCAGGAGUGAAAGCCCGGGGCCCAACCCCGGGACUGCUCUUGGAACUGCGCGGCUGGAGUGCAGGAGGGGCAGGCGGAAUUCCUGGUGUAGCGGUGAAAUGCGUAGAUAUCAGGAGGAACACCGGUGGCGAAGGCGGCCUGCUGGACUGCGACUGACGUUGAGGCCCGAAAGCGUGGGGAGCAAACAGG